UACGUAGGGGGCAAGCGUUGUCCGGAAUCAUUGGGCGUAAAGAGCGCGUAGGCGGCCCAGUAAGUCCGCUCUGAAAGUCAGGGGCUCAACCCCUGGAUGCGGGUGGAUACUGCUGGGCUAGAGUCCGGAAGAGGUGAGUGGAAUUCCUGGUGUAGCGGUGAAAUGCGCAGAUAUCAGGAGGAACACCGAUGGCGAAGGCAGCUCACUGGGCUGUAACUGACGCUGAUGCACGAAAGUGUGGGGAUCAAACAGG
rnacentral:rRNA from 1 species